AAGUAACAGGAAACAUCCACAGCAUCUUCCUGACAUGAGAAAGGGGACUGUUCUCACGUGGGAGAACUGGGUCAA